GCGGCAGUCCAGUCCACCUUAUAUAUCGUCCUCGCCAUAUAACACCUUCUCCACUGCCUUCUCCACCUCCUGCUCCACCUCAACAGCCUCCACAGCCUUCCCCUUGACCUGCACGGCCUACUAAACGCUCGUCGCUGCCCAACACGCGUUAAUAUUUAGCCUUUAGAGGGAAGAUACUGUGUGCCAUGGUGCCAAGUUGUGAUUUUCAAGGGUGGUUUAAGCGCCAAGUGUCUACGAGAGUGCCACAAAGGGUAUGGCCGUAGUAUUCAAGGGCCAUGGACCACCGAGGGGCCAUUAGAGGGAAGAUACUGUGGGCCAUGGUGCCAAGUUGUGAUUUUCAAGGGUGGUUUAAGUGCCAAGUGUCUACGUGAGUGCCACAAAGGGUAUGGCCGGAGUAUUCAAGGGCCAUGGACCACCGAGGGGCCAUUACAGGGAAGAUACUGUGUGCCAUGGUGCCAAGUGUACGAGGGUGCCACAGAGGGUUAGGUAGACACCCCUGCCAUGGCCUUACUCAACUAGGGCCAUGGACCACCGGAGGGCCAUUGGAGGGGAGAAAUAAUGGUCCAUAGUGCCAUAUUUUGUGAUUUUCAAGGAGUAGCUGUGAAUGGCCUCAAUGAAGAAUGCGAGAAGUCUGAACAUGAGAUACAGGAGGAGGAGGAGGGCCUGAUACAACAAGAAUGUGGCUUCACCUACAGGGGAUGCAUUUGAGAUUAAGGAGUAGCUGUGAAUGGCCUCAAUGAAGAACAUGAGACACAAGCAAAGAUAGGAGGAGGAGGAAUACAUACAUAGGAAGAAUACAUAGGAAGAACAGACACCAGAAGACCUAUCGGUCUAUGGCGAGGGUGUCUGUUUAAGGAGGAGGAGAGAAGGAGGAGGGCCUGAUACAACAUGAAAGCCUUCCCAAAUGUCUGUGCGGAGGUGGGGGAGGAAGACUGCAGGAGGCUGUAGAGGGGUGGAUUGGGUGAAGGGGGACUUGACAACACUACCAUGCAAGCUGGGCUAAGGUAAUGUAUGAUUGGUUUUGUUACGCUCAAAGGGAAGGGCGAUCCCAGAUACGUCGCAGAGGCGCUGUUUUGGCCUGGCCGUAGUGAGUUUCUUUAUGUGCACCAUUUAAUUCUGCAUGUUUUCGUAUAUAAUACAUGAUGAUUAUGUUGAGUUUAUGGCUGAAAGCUUGUUAUAUUCAAUAGCGACAUUUGAAAUUUAGCGCGCGCGGUGAUCUCGGAUACAGCAGAGGGCGCUGUUUUGGCCCGGCCGUAGUGAGUUUCUUUAUGUGCACCAUUUAAUUCUGCAUGUUUUCGUAUAUAAUACAUGAUGAUUAUGUUGAGUUUAUGGCUGAAAACUUGUUAUAUUCAAUAGCGACAUUUGAAAUUUGGCGCGCACGGUGAUCUCGGAUACGGUCCAGGGCGCUGUUUUGGCCUGGCCGUAGUGAGUUUCUUUAUGUGCACCAUUUAAUUCUGCAUGUUUUCAUAUAUAAUACAUGAUGAUUAUGUAGAGUUUAUGGCUGAAAGCUUGUUAUAUUCAAUAGCGACAUUUGA